rnacentral:rRNA from 1 species
GCGAAGAAACCCGCUGAACUUAAGCAUAUCACUAAGCGGAAGAAAAGAAACCAAUUUGGAUGCCCCUA